rnacentral:rRNA from 1 species
AAGUCGUAACAAGGUUACCGUAGGUGAACCUGCGGUAGGAUCAUUACUGAGUUAGGGUCUUCACGGCCCGACCUCCAACCCUUGUGUUAACUAAACCACGUUGCUUCGGCGGGCCCGUCCCCUCGGGGACCGCCGGGGGGUCUUACAGACUUCCUGGCCCGUUGCCCGCCGGUGGCCAACAACCAAAAACUCUUCAAAAACAUUGCCUGAAAACAAACCUUUUGAUUUAAUCAAAAAUUAAAACUUUCAACAACGGAUCUCUUGGUUCUGGCAUCGAUGAAGAACGCAGCGAAAUGCGAUAAGUAAUGCGAAUUGCAGAAUUUCAGUGAGUCAUCGAAUCUUUGAACGCACAUUGCGCCCUUUGGCAUUCCGAAGGGCAUGCCUGUUCGAGCGUCAUUAUCACCUCUCAAGCUCGGCUUGGUGUUGGACCCCCUUAGGCCCGGGCUUCGCCCCCGGCCGGUCCCAAAAGUAAUGACGGCGUCGCGUGGACUCUCGGUGCAACGAGCUUUUUUACAAAGGCACGCAACGAGUUGAAAGGCCCCGUGGCACGGUCCCAACCUACAAACUUCUUCAAGGUUGACCUCGGAUCAGGUAGGAAUACCCGCUGAACUUAA